CCACGACAUGAAGCCAGGAGCAGAUGGGGAUGUGGAUGAGGAGCACUCCCAGCUAGAGGAGGAAGAGACAGAGGAGUUCCGGGAUGAGGCCUCCUCUGAGCAGAGCAAGAAGGAGUCGGAGGAGCAGGGCGAGGUGAUCAGCAAGGAGCAGCUCGUCGCGCUUGCCGCGAAGGUGAGCGCCAUCUGGCAGCGGCUCGCAGCGCUGCUCAAGUUCCAGGCGGACGAGAUCGUGUACUUUGAGAGCGACACACGGGACGCGAGCGAGCAGGCGCAGAAGAUGCUGCAGAUCUGGAUGGAGAACGAGGAGGAAGCCACGGCCGAGAUGCUGCGAGCUCCCCUCGUCGAGCUGGGGCUCGAGGCGGCGUGGAGCGAAGUGUUUCAGAGCGUGAGUUGAGGUGAGGCGGAGGAGGAACGGAGGAGCGAGGUGUUUCAGAGCGUGAGCUGAGGCGAGGUGGAGGAGGAACGGAGGAGCGAGGUGUUUCAGAGCGUGAGCUGAGGCGAGGCGGAGGAGGAACAGAGGAGCGAGGUGUUUCAGAGCGUGAGCUGAGGCGGCGAGGUGGAGGAGGAACACACGUUGAUGAGGAUGAAGCUCUGGUGGAGCUCGUCUGGACGAUGCUAGGUGAUGUUCAGGUUGAUACUGGAAUCACUAGACACCGCCACCGAGAAGAUUCUGUGUGAAAGAUGCCCAACGAUGAUGCUUGACAGAAGCUGGCGAACGAUGGCAUUAUUACGGUAAAUGCAUAUUUAUAGAAAAUAAAAACAAAACCAUUGAAGCUGUGGUUUA
rnacentral:misc_RNA from 1 species